rnacentral:sRNA from 1 species
UAUUCUGCCCCACGGGGAAGGAUGAGAAGCUUCGACUAAGGUUCGACUCGAGCGAAGCGAGAGAACGUUGCCGCAGGCAACGGCCCGAAGGGCGAGGAGCGAUAGCGACGAGUUAUCCUUCCCCCACC